AUAUAUAAAAUAGAUGAACAUCAAGGUCCUACUGUACAGCACAGGGAACUAACUGUAUUCGAUAUCUUAUAGUAACUGCUAAUGAAAAAGAACGUGAAAAGGAAUAUACGUAUGUACAUGUAUGACUGAAACGUGAUGCUGUGCGCCAGAAACUGACACAUUGGACACUGACGAUACUUCAAU